AACGAUGAAGCCCAGCUUGCUGGGUGGAAGAGUGGCGCAACGGGUGAGUAACACGUGAGUAACCUGCCCUGAACUCUGGGAUAAGCACUGGAAACGGUGUCUAAUACUGGAUACGACCUAUCACCGCAUGGUGUGUGGGUGGAAAGAUUUAUCGGUUCUGGAUGGACUCGCGGCCUAUCAGCUAGAUGGUGAGGUAAUGGCUCACCAUGGCGACGACGGGUAGCCGGCCUGAGAGGGUGACCGGCCACACUGGGACUGAGACACGGCCCAGACUCCUACGGGAGGCAGCAGUGGGGAAUAUUGCACAAUGGGCGCAAGCCUGAUGCAGCAACGCCGCGUGAGGGAUGACGGCCUUCGGGUUGUAAACCUCUUUUAGUAGGGAAGAAGCGAAAGUGACGGUACCUGCAGAAAAAGCACCGGCUAACUACGUGCCAGCAGCCGCGGUAAUACGUAGGGUGCAAGCGUUGUCCGGAAUUAUUGGGCGUAAAGAGCUCGUAGGCGGCUUGUCGCGUCUGCUGUGAAAACCCGGGGCUCAACCCCGGGCCUGCAGUGGGUACGGGCAGGCUAGAGUGCGGUAGGGGAGAUUGGAAUUCCUGGUGUAGCGGUGGAAUGCGCAGAUAUUCAGGAGGAAACACCCCGAUGGCGAAGGCAGAUCUCUGGGCCGCUACUGACGCUAGAGCAAAGCAUGGGGAGCGAACAGGAUUAGAUACCCUGGUAGUCCAU
rnacentral:rRNA from 1 species